rnacentral:rRNA from 1 species
GCGCGAAAACUUGGCAAUGCGAGAAAUCGUGACCAGGGAACUCCAAGUGCAUGGUCUUGGAAUAAGAGGUGGGUAAGGACGGUGCCAGCCGCCGCGGUAAUACCGGCGCCUCAAGUGGUAGUCGCUUUUAUUGGGCCUAAAACGUCCGUAGCCGGUCUGAUACAUUCGUGGGUAAAUCAACCAGCUUAACUGGUUGAAUUCUGCGAGGACGGUCAGACUUGGGACCGGGGGAGGUGUGGGGUACGCUCAGGGUAGGGGUAAAAUCCUGUCAUCCUGAGCGGACCACCUGUUGCGAAGGCGCCACACUAGAACGGAUCCGACGGUCAGGGACGAAGCCUAGGGGCACGAACCGGAUUAGAUACCCGGGUAGUCCUAGGUGUAAACGCUGUGGACUUGAUGUUGGGGGUGCUCCGAGCACUCUCAGUGUCGAAGCGAAGGCGAUAAGUCCACUGCCUGGGAAGUACGGUCGCAAGGCUGAAACUUAAAGGAAUUGGCGGGGGAGCACGCAACGGGAGGAGCGUGCGGUUUAAUUGGAUUCAACGCCGGAAAACUCACCAGGGCCGACUGUCAGAUGAAGACCAGCGUGAUGAGCUUGUCGGAUUGUCAGAGAAGAAGUGCAUGGCC